GCUGUGGAUAGCUCAGUCGAUAGUUCGCAAGGCUCUUAACCCCGGGGUCAUGGGUUCGAAUCCCACCUAGGGCA